GGAGGGUGCAAGCGUUAUCCGGAUUCACUGGGUUUAAAGGGUGCGUAGGUGGACAUGUAAGUCAGUGGUGAAAUCCCCGAGCUUAACUUGGGAACUGCCGUUGAUACUAUAUGUCUUGAAUAUCGUGGAGGUAAGCGGAAUAUGUCAUGUAGCGGUGAAAUGCAUAGAUAUGACAUAGAACACCUAUAGCGAAGGCAGCUUGCUACACGAUCAUUGACACUGAGGCACGAAAGCGUGGGGAGCAAACAGGAUUAGAUACCCUGGUAGUCCACGCCCUAAACGAUGAUUACUCGACAUCAGCGAUACACUGUUGGUGUCUGAGCGAAAGCAUUAAGUAAUCCACCUGGGAAGUACGACCGCAAGGUUGAA
rnacentral:rRNA from 1 species